rnacentral:rRNA from 1 species
AACGAACGCUGGCGGCAGGCCUAACACAUGCAAGUCGAACGGCCCUUCGGGGUAGUGGCGCACGGGUGAGGAACACGUGGGAAUGUACCCCUUGGUAAGGAAUAAUAUCUGGAAACGGAUACUAAUACCUUAUAAUGACUUCGGUCCAAAGAUUUAUCGCCAAGGGAUCAGCCCGCGUCUGAUUAGUUUGUUGGUAGGGUAAUGGCCUACCAAGGCGACGAUCAGUAGCUGGUCUGAGAGGAUGAUCAGCCACACUGGGACUGAGACACGGCCCAG